AACGAACGCUGGCGGCAGGCCUAAUACAUGCAAGUCGAACGCACCGCAAGGUGAGUGGCAGACGGGUGAGUAACGCGUGGGAACCUUCCUAGUAGUACGGAAUAACUCCGGGAAACCGGUGCUAAUACCGUAUAAGCCCUCCGGGGGAAAGAUUUAUCGCUACUAGAUGGGCCCGCGUCGGAUUAGCUUGUUGGUGAGGUAAUGGCUCACCAAGGCUUCGAUCCGUAGCUGGUCUGAGAGGAUGAUCAGCCACACUGGGACUGAGACACGGCCCAGACUCCUACGGGAGGCAGCAGUAGGGAAUAUUGGACAAUGGGCGAAAGCCUGAUCCAGCCAUGCCGCGUGAGUGAAGAAGGCCUUAGGGUUGUAAAGCUUCUUUUGGCGGGAAGAUAAUGACGGUACCCGCAGAAUAAGCUCCGGCUAACUUCGUGCCAGCAGCCGCGGUAAG
rnacentral:rRNA from 1 species